UUUCCUCCACCUCCUCCACGAGCUCUGGAAAACUGGAUCACCAGCAAAAUUGUUCUCCAGACUCUCUCAGGAUCUUUUUUAGAACGAGUUCUCCCUAGUCCUUUCUGUUUUUUCUUCUCCUUUUUGCUUUUUUUUUUUCCCUCUCUUUUCAGCCUACCCUCACCCCCUCUAUAUCAUGUUAUUCAUUUUGAUCCUUCUGCUCAGGUUUGAAAGCAUCUCUCCGCACCGUCAU
rnacentral:lncRNA from 1 species